rnacentral:rRNA from 1 species
UACAGAGGUGGCAAGCGUUGUUCGGAAUUACUGGGCAUAAAGGGUGCGUAGGCGGUUUGUUUAGUCACUGGUGAAAGUUUUCGGCCCAACCGGAAAAUUGCCUGUGAUACUGGCGAACUUGAGUGCGUGAGGGGUGGGGGGAACGAGCAGUGUAGCGGUGAAAUGCGUAGAUAUUGCUCGGAAGGCCGGAGCCGAAGGGGCCCCACUGGUACGUAACUGACGCUGAGGCACGAAGGUCAGGGGAGCAAACGGG